rnacentral:rRNA from 1 species
CGAGCGGAGAUUGCAUUUAUGUAAUCUUAGCGGCGGACGGGUGAGUAACGCGUAUGCAACCUGCCUUGCACAGAGGGAUAACACCGGGAAACUGGUGCUAAUACCACAUGAUAUCAUAACAAUGCAUCUUGAAAUGAUCAAAGGAGAAAUCCGGUGCAAGAUGGGCCUGCGUCCGAUUAGUUAGUUGGUGAGGUAACGGCUCACCAAUGCGACGAUCGGUAGCCGAACUGAGAGUGUUGAUCGGCCACAUUGGGACUGAGACACGUGCCCAGACUCCUACGUGGAGUGCAGCAGUGGGGAAUAUUGCGCAAUGGGGGGAACCCUGACGCAGCAACGCCGCGUGAAUGAAGAAGUGCCUUCGGGUUGUAAACUUUUUUGAUUUGGGGAAGAAAAAAAUGACGUGUACCCAAUGAACAAGCCACGGCUAACUACGUGCCAGCAGCCGCGGUAAUACGUAGGUGGCGAGCGUUGUCCGGAAUUACUUGGGCGUAAAGGGCGUGUAGGCGGGAUUGUAAGUCAGAUGUGAAAUUCCAGGGCUUAACUCUGGAGGUGCAUCUGAAACUAUAAUUCUUGAGUGCUGGAGAGGAAAGCGGAAUUCCUAGUGUGGCGGUGAAAUGCGUAGAUAUUAGGAAGAACACCAGUGGCGAAGGCGGCUUUCUGGACAGUAACUGACGCUGAGGCGCGAAAGCGUGGGGAGCAAACAGGAUUAGAUACCCUGGUAGUCCACGCUGUAAACGAUGGAUACUAGGUGUAGGAGGUAUCGACCCCUUCUGUGCCGGAGUUAACACAAUAAGUAUCCCACCUGGGGAGUACGGCCGCAAGGCUGAAACUCAAAGGAAUUGACGGGGGCCCGCACAAGCAGUGGAGUAUGUGGUUUAAUUCGAAGCAACGCGAAGAACCUUACCAGGGCUUGACAUCCCUCGGAUAACAUAGAGAUAUGUUAGUCCUUCGGGACGAGGAGACAGGUGGUGCAUGGUUGUCGUCAGCUCGUGUCGUGAGGUGUUGGGUUAAGUCCCGCAACGAGCGCAACCCCUAUUGUUAGUUGCCAUCAUUAAGUUGGGCACUCUAACGAGACUGCCGGUGACAAAUCGGAGGAAGGUGGGGACGACGUCAAAUCAUCAUGCCCCUUAUGUCCUGGGCUACGCACGUACUACAAUGGUCACUACAAAGGGAAGCAAUACCGCAAGGAGGAGCAAAUCCCCAAAGGUGACCUCAGUUCGGAUUGUGGGCUGAAACCCGCCCACAUGAAGUCGGAAUUGCUAGUAAUGGCAGGUCAGCAUACUGUCGUGAAUACGUUCCCGGGCCUUGUACACACCGCCCGUCACACCAUGAGAGUUUGCAACAC